GUAUAACUUUCUCUGACUUUCUAAGACGUGUUUUAUGCCACUUCUUUUUCUGUCUCAUUUUGUCCACCAAACUUUUAACGUUGUGCUUGAAUGCACAAAGUGCAAGAUGGGCUGAAGUCCAACUGCAGAUCACAGCCAUCGGGGCCUUGAUUGAUCGCCUGUGGUGGCUUCAUAAACGGGGCCAAUCCAUCAAACUCUCCUGGGAACCUCUGGAAGGGAAGAAGGAAGAGAGCGAGUCAGGCAGAAAUGUCAGCGGGGAGAAGUGGAGGAGGAGAACCAGCAGCCUCGGUCCAGACGUUGACCAUGUGACCAUAAGGAGGGCCGGAGGCAGUGAGAGGGGGUCGAAAAGACCAGGCGAGACCCGGAGAGCCCGACAGAAAGACUGACGAGCACAGGCUGCAAAGCAUCUCGGGGAUCUGAACUAUUGUUUGUGAAAAAGUAAAAAUAAAACAGUGUCAAGCCAGAGUGGUGAUUCCGAGUGGUCCUGAAGAAUACGGGCAGGAAGAACGUCACAAGUGGCGCCCAACAGAACGAA